UACAGAGGUCCCAAGCGUUGUUCGGAUUCAUUGGGCGUAAAGGGUGCGUAGGCGGCGCGGUAAGUCGGGUGUGAAAUCUCGGGGCUUAACUCCGAAACUGCAUUCGAUACUGCCGUGCUUGAGGACUGGAGAGGAGACUGGAAUUUACGGUGUAGCGGUGAAAUGCGUAGAUAUCGUAAGGAAGACCAGUGGCGAAGGCGAGUUUCUGGACGGUAACUGACGCUGAGGCACGAAGGCCAGGGGAGCAAACGGG
rnacentral:rRNA from 1 species